rnacentral:rRNA from 1 species
UACGUAGGGUGCAAGCGUUAAUCGGAAUUACUGGGCGUAAAGCGUGCGCAGGCGGCUUUGCAAGUCAGAUGUGAAAUCCCCGGGCUUAACCUGGGAACUGCAUUUGUGACUGCAUGGCUGGAGUGCGGCAGAGGGGGAUGGAAUUCCGCGUGUAGCAGUGAAAUGCGUAGAGAUGUGGAGGAACACCGAUGGCGAAGGCAGCCCCCUGGGCUGACACUGACGCUCAGGCACGAAAGCGUGGGGAGCAAACAGG